GAUGAACGCUAGCUACAGGCUUAACACAUGCAAGUCGAGGGGAAACGGCAUCGAAAGCUUGCUUUUGAUGGGCGUCGACCGGCGCACGGGUGAGUAACGCGUAUCCAACCUGCCCAUCACUUGGGAAUAACCUUGCGAAAGUAAGACUAAUGCCCAAUGACAUCCCACGAAGGCAUCCGAAUGGGAUUAAAGAUUUAUCGGUGAUGGAUGGGGAUGCGUCUGAUUAGCUUGUUGGCGGGGUGACGGCCCACCAAGGCAACGAUCAGUAGGGGUUCUGAGAGGAAGGUCCCCCACAUUGGAACUGAGACACGGUCCAAACUCCUACGGGAGGCAGCAGUGAGGAAUAUUGGUCAAUGGGCGAGAGCCUGAACCAGCCAAGUAGCGUGCAGGAUGACGGCCCUAUGGGUUGUAAACUGCUUGUAUAAGGGAAUAAAGUGGGUCACGUGUGACUUUUUGCAUGUACCUUAUGAAUAAGGACCGGCUAAUUCCGUG
rnacentral:rRNA from 1 species